GGAGAAGUGGCAGAGUGGUCGAAUGCACUAGUCUUGAAAACUAGCGUACUGCAAGGUACCAGGGGUUCGAAUCCCUUCUUCUCCGCAA
rnacentral:tRNA from 1 species